rnacentral:lncRNA from 13 species
GUCUUGAACCAUCGAGUUGAGGUCACAGGGCCAACUACACUGCCUCCUGUGCCUUGAUGACAUGAUUUAAUAAUGGCCGUUACACCCAGCACUCCGUUAUGAUAUGAUUACAUGACAGGCUGUCAAAACAAGGUCACAGAGAACUGGACUAGGAGAAUCACAGCUUAUACACUGUGUGUGUGUGUGUGUGUGUUUUACACGCUGUGUGUGUGUGCUUUACACACUGUGUGUGUGUGUGUGUGUGUGUUUUACACGCUGUGUGUGUGUGUGUGUGUGUAUUUACAGUGCCUUGCGAAAGUAUUCGGCCCCCAUUGAACUUUGCGACCUUUUGCCACAUUUCAGACUUCAAACAUAAAGAUAUAAAACUGUAUUUUUUUUGUGAAGAAUCAACAACAAGUGGGACACAAUCAUGAAGUGGAACGACAUUUAUUGGAUAUUUCAAACUUUUUUAACAAAUCAAAAACUGAAAAAUUGGGCGUGCAAAAUUAUUCAGCCCCUUUACUUUCAGUGCAGCAAACUCUCUCCAGAAGUUCAGUGAGGAUCUCUGAAUGAUCCAAUGUUGACCUAAAUGACUAGUGAGAGAGAGAGGCGUAUUUUACCAAGUACAUUGACUGAGAACACAUUAUCUACAUCAAUGACCUGGGGAAAUAGUUACAAAUAUAAUAACAUCUUAUUUAUCAUUUUUACUAGGAUUAAAUGUCAGGAAUUGUGGAAAAACUGAGUUUAAAUGUAUCUGACUAAAGUGUAUGUAAACUUCCAACUGUAUAUACAGGAAGUACCAGAUCAAUGUGGAGCUAUAUACAGGAAGUACCAGUACCAGAUCAAUGUGGAGCUAUAUACAGGAAGUACCAGAUCAAUGUGGAGCUAUAUACAGGAAGUACCAGAUCAAUGUGGAGCUAUAUACAGGAAGUACCAGAUCAAUGUGGAGCUGCAGUUGAAGUCGGAAGUUUACAUUCACCUUAGCCAAAUACAUUUAAACUCAGUUUUUCACAAUUCCUGACAUUUAAUCCUAGUAAAAAAAUCCAUUUUUAGGCCAGUUAGGAUAACCACUUUAUUUUAUGAAUGUGAAAUGUCAGAAUAAUAGCAGAGAGAAUGAUGAAUUUCAGCUUUUGUUUCUUUCAUCACAUUCCCAGUGGGUCAGAAGUUUAUCAACACUCAAUUAAAUAUUUGGUAGCAUUGCCUUUAAAUUGUUUAACUUGGGUCAAACGUUUCGGGUAGCCUUCCACAAGCUUCCCAGAAUAAGUUGGGUGAAUUUUGGCCCAUUCCUCCUGACAGAGCUGAUGUAACUUAGUCAGGUUUGUAGGCCUCCUUGCUUGCACACACUUUUUCAGUUCUGCCAACAAAUUUGCUAUAGGAUUGAGGUCAGGGCUUUGUGAUGGCCACUCCAAUACCUUGACUUUGUUGUCCUUAAGCCAUUUUACCACAACUUUGGAAGUAUGCUUGGGGUCAUUGUCCAUUUGGAAGACCCAUUUGUGACCAAGCUUUAACUUCCUGACUGAUGUCUUGAGAUGUUGCUUCAAUAUAUCCACAUAAUUUUCCGUCCUCAUGAUGCCAUCUAUUUUGUGAAGUGCACCAGUCCCUCCUGCAGCAAAGCACCCCCACAACAUGAUGCUGCCACCCCCGUGCUUCACAGUUGGGAUUGUGUUCUUCGGCUUGCAAGCCUCC